AAUAGAGAUGGCAUGCUCGAUGCCAGAUGCUGCUGAAUGUUUCCGCAAUGAAAACAAUGUCUAAGGUUAUGGAGAUCAUGGAUCGAGUUGCUGGACCAUACAAUGGUGUCAAAAUAGGAGACUUUUUUACUCUCGAGAAACGCUUUUUCAUUUUAGUAAGAUUCCAAUCGAAUCUUGUUUUCUAUUGAAACUAAAUUUAUUUUCUUUUAGUUUAUUAUGGAAAAUUUAUCAAUUUUGAUGCGAUUUACGGUAAACAUUGGACCCUUGAGUGUAACGUAAAUCUUGCUGAUUGAACAAUAAAAAUCAAUUUGAUUCUAACUUUAACUGUUAAGCGGUUUUAUAAUACUCUAAUGCCGUUGUCCCACUAUAAUAAAUAUUUCUCAUCUCAA